AUUGAACGCUGGCGGCAUGCCUUACACAUGCAAGUCGAACGGCAGCACGGGUGCUUGCACCUGGUGGCGAGUGGCGAACGGGUGAGUAAUACAUCGGAACGUACCUUAUCGUGGGGGAUAACGCAGCGAAAGCUGUGCUAAUACCGCAUACGCCCUGAGGGGGAAAGCGGGGGAUCGAAAGACCUCGCGCGAUUAGAGCGGCCGAUGCCUGAUUAGCCUGUUGGUGGGGUAAAAGCCCACCAAGGCGACGAGCAGUAGCUGGUCUGAGAGGACGAUCAGCCACACUGGGACUGAGACACGGCCCAGACUCCUACGGGAGGCAGCAGUGGGGAAUUUUGGACAAUGGGGGCAACCCUGAUCCAGCAAUGCCGCGUGAGUGAAGAAGGCCUUCGGGUUGUAAAGCUCUUUUGUCAGGGAAGAAACACCGGCUCUAACACAGUCCGGGAAUGACGGUACCUGAAGAAUAAGCACCGGCUAACUACGUGCCAGCAGCCGCCGCAG
rnacentral:rRNA from 1 species